CUAGAUCUGGUUCCUACAUGUAGGAUAAGAGAAAAAGGAUCAUUGAGAUACUUAUCCUUAUACACAUUUGAUGUGUGUAGCCCAUGUAAUAUGCUAACCAAGGAGUUCUUUCUACUUUGUAUAUGAGAUACAGAUCUGAAAUUUUUUGAAAGGUUUAAAGAUUUCAGAUAUAAAGUAGAAAAAUAAAUCAAAAAAUUUCUAAAGGUAUUUCGA
rnacentral:lncRNA from 1 species